GUUUGAUCAUGGCUCAGAUUGAACGCUGGCGGCAGGCUUAACACAUGCAAGUCGAGCGGGGGAAGGUAGCUUGCUACUGGACCUAGCGGCGGACGGGUGAGUAAUGCUUAGGAAUCUGCCUAUUAGUGGGGGACAACAUCUCGAAAGGGAUGCUAAUACCGCAUACGUCCUACGGGAGAAAGCAGGGGAUCUUCGGACCUUGCGCUAAUAGAUGAGCCUAAGUCGGAUUAGCUAGUUGGUGGGGUAAAGGCCUACCAAGGCGACGAUCUGUAGCGGGUCUGAGAGGAUGAUCCGCCACACUGGGACUGAGACACGGCCCAGACUCCUACGGGAGGCAGCAGUGGGGAAUAUUGGACAAUGGGGGGAACCCUGAUCCAGCCAUGCCGCGUGUGUGAAGAAGGCCUUAUGGUUGUAAAGCACUUUAAGCGAGGAGGAGGCUACUUUAGUUAAUACCUAGAGAUAGUGGACGUUACUCGCAGAAUAAGCACCGGCUAACUCUGUGCCAGCAGCCGCGGUAAUACAGAGGGUGCGAGCGUUAAUCGGAUUUACUGGGCGUAAAGCGUGCGUAGGCGGCUUAUUAAGUCGGAUGUGAAAUCCCCGAGCUUAACUUGGGAAUUGCAUUCGAUACUGGUGAGCUAGAGUAUGGGAGAGGAUGGUAGAAUUCCAGGUGUAGCGGUGAAAUGCGUAGAGAUCUGGAGGAAUACCGAUGGCGAAGGCAGCCAUCUGGCCUAAUACUGACGCUGAGGUACGAAAGCAUGGGGAGCAAACAGGAUUAGAUACCCUGGUAGUCCAUGCCGUAAACGAUGUCUACUAGCCGUUGGGGCCUUUGAGGCUUUAGUGGCGCAGCUAACGCGAUAAGUAGACCGCCUGGGGAGUACGGUCGCAAGACUAAAACUCAAAUGAAUUGACGGGGGCCCGCACAAGCGGUGGAGCAUGUGGUUUAAUUCGAUGCAACGCGAAGAACCUUACCUGGCCUUGACAUACUAGAAACUUUCCAGAGAUGGAUUGGUGCCUUCGGGAAUCUAGAUACAGGUGCUGCAUGGCUGUCGUCAGCUCGUGUCGUGAGAUGUUGGGUUAAGUCCCGCAACGAGCGCAACCCUUUUCCUUACUUGCCAGCAUUUCGGAUGGGAACUUUAAG
rnacentral:rRNA from 1 species